rnacentral:snoRNA from 1 species
CUUAUAUGAUGAUCCCUUUCAAGAAUUCUGCAAUUCUGACAAUCUCCUACUUUUGUGAGAUUGCGUGUUGACAUUCUACACUUGAUCUGAUU